UUUAGUCUUACGGAUAGGCUAGCCGACUCCACCCUUUGUGACCACCCUGUUGCUUCGGGGGCGACCCCGCCGUUUCGGCGACGGCGCCCCCGGAGGUCAUCAAACACUGCAUCUUUUGCGUCGGAGUCUUAAAGUAAAUUUAAACAAAACUUUCAACAACGGAUCUCUUGGUUCUGGCAUCGAUAAAGAACGCAGCAGCACUU
rnacentral:rRNA from 1 species